UACGAAGGGUGCAAGCGUUAAUCGGAAUUACUGGGCGUAAAGCGCGCGUAGGUGGUUCAGUAAGUUGGAAGUGAAAUCCCCGGGCUCAACCUGGGAACUGCUUUCAAAACUGCCGAGCUAGAGUACGGUAGAGGGUGGUGGAAUUUCCUGUGUAGCGGUGAAAUGCGUAGAUAUAGGAAGGAACACCAGUGGCGAAGGCGACCACCUGGACUGAUACUGACACUGAGGUGCGAAAGCGUGGGGAGCAAACAGG
rnacentral:rRNA from 1 species